rnacentral:rRNA from 1 species
GACGUAGGAUGCAAGCGUUAUCCGGAAUGAUUGGGCGUAAAGCGUCCGCAGGUGGCAGUUCAAGUCUGCUGUCAAAGACCGGGGCUUAACUUCGGAAAGGCAGUGGAAACUGAACAGCUAGAGUAUGGUAGGGGCAGAGGGAAUUCCUGGUGUAGCGGUGAAAUGCGUAGAUAUCGGGAAGAACACCAAAGGCGAAAGCGCUCUGCUGGGCCGAAACUGACACUGAUAGACGAAAGCUAGGGGAGCAAAUGGG